rnacentral:lncRNA from 1 species
AUGGUGCGGACGAAGGACGAAGUUGAGUUGGGAGCGGUGCUGGCGGAGGAUGCUGUCGAGCGGAGGAGGUGGCGCUGGGUACUUGUGGAGGGUGAGGUCAGUAGUACACGAAAGAUUUCCCUGGACGUCGGCCCUGCGGAGGAUGCAGUUGAGCUAGGGAGGUGGCAUAGGCAGAGGCGCGAGGUCGAGUUGGGAGCGACACCCGACGGAGGUCACUGUGGAGCCAAGGAGGUGGUGCGGGCAAAGAAUGUGGAUGAGUUAGGGUGGCGCCAAUUUGUGGGCCACUAGUCCAAAGUAA